AUCUGUGUGUGUAUGUGUGU
rnacentral:miRNA from 1 species